GACUUGCUGAAGUGGAAUGGCUGGGGAUACAAAGACUCCAAGUUUGUGGUUGAUGGCACCACACAUCAUAUUUCGUUCACAGGUGACAGGUACAAGAUUGGGAACAAGGUGCUGCCUCACUUCAAGGCCUGGGUCGAGUCGGCGUUGGGCGUCGACCUUAGUGUCCUCAUGCCGGCUCAGCCCCCGCCUUCAGACCAGGAACUUCCGCCCCCCAUAAUCAACGAGGCAUUCCUGGAGGACGUUCGUCGUGCCGGCAUUUCCUACUCGGCCGAUGGCCAGGACAGGCUUUUCAGGGCACAUGGUCACACCAUGCGUGAGAUCUUCAUCCUGCGGGAAGGUUCGUUCGCUCGCAUUCCCGACUUGGUCGUCUGGCCGC